UACGUAGGGUGCAAGCGUUGUCCGGAAUUAUUGGGCGUAAAGAGCUCGUAGGCGGUUUGUUGCGUCGGCUGUGAAAUCCCGAGGCUCAACCUCGGGUCUGCAGUCGAUACGAGCAAACUAGAGUGUUGGCAGGGGAGACUGGAAUUCCUGGUGAUAGCGGUGAAAUGCGCAGAUAUCAGGAGGGAACACCGGUGGGCGAAGGCGGGUCUCUGGGCAACAACUGACGUGGAGGAGCGAAAGCGUGGGGAGCGAAACAGG
rnacentral:rRNA from 1 species